rnacentral:rRNA from 1 species
GAUGAACGCUGGCGGCGUGCCUAAUACAUGCAAGUCGAGCGAACAGAUGAGGAGCUUGCUCCUCUGACGUUAGCGGCGGACGGGUGAGUAACACGUGGAUAACCUACCUAUAAGACUGGGAUAACUUCGGGAAACCGGAGCUAAUACCGGAUAAUAUAUAGAACCGCAUGGUUCAAUAGUGAAAGACGGUUUUGCUGUCACUUAUAGAUGGAUCCGCGCCGCAUUAGCUAGUUGGUAAGGUAACGGCUUACCAAGGCGACGAUGCGUAGCCGACCUGAGAGGGUGAUCGGCCACACGGGAACUGAGACACGGUCCAGACUCCUACGGGAGGCAGCAGUAGGGAAUCUUCCGCAAUGGGCGAAAGCCUGACGGAGCAACGCCGCGUGAGUGAUGAAGGUCUUCGGAUCGUAAAACUCUGUUAUUAGGGAAGAACAAAUGUGUAAGUAACGAUGCACGUCUUGACGGUACCUAAGCAGAAAGCCACGGCUAACUACGU